AACGUAGGUGGCAAGCGUUAUCCGGAAUUACUGGGCGUAAAGGGCGCGUAGGCGGCCUUCUAAGUCGAACGUGAAAUCCCCGGGCUCAACCCGGGAACUGCGUCCGAUACUGAAAGGCUUGAAUCCGGGAGAGGGAUGCGGAAUUCCAGGUGUAGCGGUGAAAUGCGUAGAUAUCUGGAGGAACACCGGUGGCGAAGGCGGCAUCCUGGACCAAUUCUGACGCUGAGGAGCGAAAGCCAGGGGAGCAAACGGG
rnacentral:rRNA from 1 species